rnacentral:lncRNA from 1 species
ACCUCAAAAUCCAAUAACUCCUUCAUUCCAUCUUAGAAUCUAGCGAGGAGUAUGUAAAAAGUGUAGCCACCAAAGUUUUCUUUCUAAUAGCACUCGCCGAUCCUCAAUUGCUAUCCGUAUGCAUGCGUUAUGCCAAAAAGAGUGAUAAUAGCUCCAAAAUCAACACCUUAACUUUGAGCGCCUAUAUCUCCUUCAUAGAAACUCCAAAUCAUACAAAACUUGUACCAAAACCAUAGCCAAAAACCUAAAAUUAUUGACCUUAGCCUUCAAAGUUCAAAUGGGCCGGAAAAACUAACCCUAAUCCCUAAUAUGGCCUCAGGCAGCCUCCUCAAAGCCCAAUGGUCAUGAUUUUUGACCAAUAGGAAUGGAGAUUUUCAUCAUCCAUCUCCAUUCAUCUAUAUUGGUGCCCUAAUUACUCCCUUUGCUACCAAAAUCCUUCUUCAAUCCUUUUUCUUAUAAGAUUUAUAU